CACGUAGGGGGCGAGCGUUGUCCGGAUUCAUUGGGCGUAAAGAGCUCGUAGGCGGCUCAGUAAGUCGGGUGUGAAACCCUCAGGCUCAACCUGGGGACGCCACUCGAUACUGCUGUGGCUAGAGUCCAGUAGAGGAGUGUGGAAUUCCCGGUGUAGCGGUGAAAUGCGCAGAUAUCGGGAGGAACACCAACGGCGAAGGCAGCACUCUGGGCUGGAACUGACGCUGAGGCGCGAAGGCGUGGGGAGCGAACGGGG
rnacentral:rRNA from 1 species